GAUGAACGCUGGCGGCGUGCUUAACACAUGCAAGUCGAACGGUGAAGCAGGAGCUUGCUCUUGUGGAUCAGUGGCGAACGGGUGAGUAACACGUGAGCAACCUGCCCCUGACUCUGGGAUAAGCGCUGGAAACGGCGUCUAAUACUGGAUAUGUGAUGUGACCGCAUGGUCUGCAUCUGGAAAGAAUUUCGGUUGGGGAUGGGCUCGCGGCCUAUCAGCUUGUUGGUGAGGUAAUGGCUCACCAAGGCGUCGACGGGUAGCCGGACUGAGAGGGGGAGCGGACACACUGGGACUGCAACACGGCCCAGACUCGUACGGGAGGCAGCAGUGGGGAGUAUUGCACAAUGGGCGGAAGCCUGAUGCAGCAACGCCGCGUGAGGGAUGACGGCCUGCGGGUUGUAAACCUCUGUUAGCAGGGAAGAAGCGAAAGUGACGGUACCUGCAGAAAAAGCACCGGCUAACUACGUGCCAGCCGCCGCGGUAA
rnacentral:rRNA from 1 species